rnacentral:sRNA from 1 species
UUUGCCACGACGGGUCUUUUUCGCGUCAUUCUUUGAAAUUGUUAAAUUAAAAUCCCAAAUACAGAGAGCUGUUUAUCUGACGAUUCGAAAACGGUCGUGCGUGCCUAAUAUAACAAAUAUUUAAGCUGGAAUAUAGAAUUUUGCAUCUUUGUGUAGCCAAUUUCCAUCAUUCCGAUUACUCGCGUGUCAUUUUUCAAUCUUAUGCAAUUACACAAAAAAAAAACAAGAAAACUAAAUUUGUAGUAAAUAUGUGUGUUAUUCUAGCAAUCUAAAUAAAUUUGCCCAAAAUAGAAAUAUUGUGAAAAAAAUUGCACACCCUUGAACGUGAAUUGCAAUUCGUUCUGGCCGCUGAGGCGUCUAUUUUUACAUGUGUGCAACAAACAAAGAAUAUAAAAAGAUAAUUGUAUCACAUUACUCUGGUUGGUUAGAGAUCUAUUGAAUGACGAAAGUAUUCUCUACAAAAAGGUACCUCGUUCUCUUCGAAAAAUGAGUCUAGAUUUUUUGGAAAACUUAUCAAGCGACUACGAAAAUGCCUUGGUCCUGGCUGGUUUCGGAAAAUUUCAUUUCAUGUUACUAGUGAUAUGCGGUUUGAUUUAUUUAAAUACCGCUAUAGGUGUAACUAUACUAUCAUUUGUUCUUCCUUCGGCCACAUGUGAUUUUUUCAUGACAUCUGAGGAUAAGGGUUGGCUUUCAGCAUCUCCAAUGCUUGGAAUGUUAAUCGGUUCCUAUUUUUGGGGUUGUCUUGCUGAUACCAAAGGCCGUAAAAUUGUGCUCGUAGCAACCCUUAUUGCCGAUGGGGUUUGCGGCCUGUUGUCAUCGAUGGCUCCGUACUAUAUAAUAUUUUUAUGUAUGCGCUUCAUAAAUGG